rnacentral:rRNA from 1 species
AUUGAACGCUGGCGGCAUGCCUUACACAUGCAAGUCGAACGGUAACAGGUCUUCGGAUGCUGACGAGUGGCGUACGGGUGAGUAAUACAUCGGAACGUGCCCGAUCGUGGGGGAUAACGAAGCGAAAGCUUUGCUAAUACCGCAUACGAUCUACGGAUGAAAGCAGGGGACCGCAAGGCCUUGCGCGAACGGAGCGGCCGAUGGCAGAUUAGGAAGUUGGUGGGAUAAAAGCUUACCAAGCCGACGAUCUGCAGCUGGUCUGAGAGGACGACCAGCCACACUGGGACUGAGACACGGCCCAGACUCCUACGGGAGGCAGCAGUGGGGAAUUUUGGACAAUGGGCGAAAGCCUGAUCCAGUCAUGCCGCGUGCAGGAUGAAGGCCUUCGGGUUGUAAACUGCUUUUGUACGGAACGAAAAGACUCUGGUUAAUACCUGGAGUCCAUGACGGUACCGUAAGAAUAAGCACCGGCUAACUACGUG